AUAGUUGAUUAGCUUUUGCCUAUAUGAAGAAAUAGUGGUGGGACCUUCCAUGUACUCUAGUCUCACUGUUUCCCAAGCCUGUGGAGAAAAAAAAAUAUUGCAGUCUUAUUUUCUGUAAGCCACUGUACAUCUAACAAUGAAUUUGUAAAAAGAAAUUUACAAUCAUUUCAAUUUUAUAGUUGUAUAAAGAAAAGGCAUAAGAGUAUUUUAAAAUUCAGGAUAUAUUUAUGUGAUAAACUAUAUGAGAAUAAAAAUUCUUAUAAGAAUUCAAAAUACAAUUCAAACUUUUAGUUAAUACAUUAAAAAUAUCAGAAAUGUGGGUUGGAAAAAGUACUAAAAAGGAUUUAUUAUAUGUGAGAGAUAUAUACUAGAGAAGAAAGAUAAACCUGUGAAAUUCCAAACAUUUCACACCCACAAAUAUAAUACAGCAAUGCAAAUUAAGACUUCUUUGCAUUUAUAUACACAUAUAAAUCAACCAUGGCAUUGCAGAUGAUAAGAACUGUAUUAGUCAAUAUUUCUUAAACAUUUAUUACCAUGUGCCAGAUACCAUAUGUAUAGGACCUCACAAGAAUCAAGGACCAUCUCAAUUAAUUCUCUUCACUGCCCUGUGGUAAGCGGGAAAACUCUACCCAAGGCUUAGAAAACUUGCUCAAGGUUACAUAGCUAUUAAGCUGUGAAGAACAGAUUGUGAUCUGGAGCAGACUAACUUAUAAAGUCCAAGCUCUUAAGACAUAUGUAAUAUAGAUAAUUCAAUGAAACAAACUUGAAAAAUAUUUUUUUUCUUUUAGAAAGAAACAAUCUCUUAAAGUAUAGCAGUUCCUUUUAUCUGUGAUUUCACUUUCUGUGGAUUCAGUUCCCCACAGUCAAUGUCAGUCUGGACGUGGAUGAUCGUCCUGAGGCAUCCUCAGGCGGCCAGUCCAGGCCUAACACUAUGCCACAGAGCCUGCGUCACUCACCUCACUUCAUCUCAUCACGUAGGCAUUUUAUCAUCUUACAUCAUCACAAAACGAAGGCAGGGAUGGAAGACGAGCCUUUAAUACUGUGAGGUGAGGACUUGGAUCUAGAAAGCUUACCAGCACCAGGACCUCCCAAGGGCUGUCCUCUCAGCGAAGGGGUGCAUGAGGAGAGAGUAUCAGCCCACAGAUGCGGACAGAAGACAAGGAAGUAUGUGGGCUUGGAGGCAGAAUGAGAAGUCAAAACCCCAGGAACAGCCCCCAAACUGAGAAAUUAAAAUAAAAAUGGAUCCAGGUUCAACCAGUAA